rnacentral:rRNA from 1 species
AACGUAGGACGCAAGCGUUAUCCGGAGUUACUGGGCGUAAAGGGCUCGUAGGCGGCCAACUAAGUCGGACGUGAAAUCCCCAGGCUCAACCUGGGAACUGCGUCUGAUACUGGAUGGCUUGAAUCCGGGAGAGGGAUGCAGAAUUCCAGGUGUAGCGGUGAAAUGCGUAGAUAUCUGGAGGAAUACCGGUGGCGAAGGCGCAUCCUGGACCGGCAUUGACGCUGAGGAGCGAAAGCCAGGGGAGCAAACGGG